rnacentral:rRNA from 1 species
AAGCUACCGCCGAGGGAGGGGUUUGCGUCUGAUUAGCUGGUUGGUGAGGUAAGGGCUCACCAAGGCGACGAUCAGUAGCCGGUCUGAGAGGAUGAACGGCCACAUUGGAACUGAGAGACGGUCCAGACUCCUACGGGAGGCAGCAGUGGGGAAUCUUCCGCAAUGGGCGAAAGCCUGACGGAGCAACGCCGCGUGAGUGAAGACGGCCUUCGGGUUGUAAAGCUCUGUUACACGGGACGAACGGGUUUUGUGCAAACAGCAUAAGACCGUGACGGUACCGUAGAAGAAAGCCACGGCUAACUACGUGCCAGCAGCCGCGGUAAUACGUAGGUGGCAAGCGUUGUCCGGAAUGAUUGGGCGUAAAGGGCGCGCAGGCGGCCGGCCAAGUCUGUCUAAAAAGUGCGGGGCUUAACCCCGUGAGGGGAGAGAAACUGGCCGGCUGAGAGUGUCGGAGAGGAAAGCGGAAUUCCUAGUGUAGCGGUGAAAUGCGUAGAUAUUAGGAGGAACACCAGUGGCGAAAGCGGCUUUCUGGACGAAAACUGACGCUGAGGCGCGAAAGCCAGGGGAGCGAACGGGAUUAGAUACCCCGGUAGUCCUGGCCGUAAACGAUGGGUACUAGGUGUGGGAGGUAUCGACCCCUUCCGUGCCGGAGUUAACGCAAUAAGUACCCCGCCUGGGGAGUACGGCCGCAAGGUUGAAACUCAAAGGAAUUGACGGGGGCCCGCACAAGCGGUGGAGUAUGUGGUUUAAUUCGACGCAACGCGAAGAACCUUACCAAGCCUUGACAUUGAGUGAAGGGCGUAGAGAUAUGCCGUUCUUCUUCGGAAGACACGAAAACAGGUGGUGCACGGCUGUCGUCAGCUCGUGUCGUGAGAUGUUGGGUUAAGUCCCGCAACGAGCGCAACCCUUAUCUUCAGUUACCAGCACGUAGAGGUGGGGACUCAGGAGAGACUGCCGCAGACAAUGCGGAGGAAGGCGGGGAUGACGUCAAGUCAUCAUGCCCCUUAUGGCUUGGGCUACACACGUACUACAAUGGCUCUUAAUAGAGGGAAGCGAAGGAGCGAUCCGGAGCAAACCCCAAAAACAGAGUCUCAGUUCGGAUUGUAGGCUGCAACUCGCCUACAUGAAG